UACGUAGGGUGCAAGCGUUAAUCGGAAUUACUGGGCGUAAAGAGCUCGUAGGCGGUUUGUCGCGUCGGAUGUGAAAGCCCGGGGCUUAACCCCGGGUCUGCAUUCGAUACGGGCAGACUGGAGUGUGGUAGGGGAGAUCGGAAUUCCUGGUGUAGCGGUGAAAUGCGCAGAUAUCAGGAGGAACACCGGUGGCGAAGCGGAUCUCUGGGCCAUUACUGACGCUGAGGAGCGAAAGCGUGGGGAGCGAACAGG
rnacentral:rRNA from 1 species